CAGCCGCCGCGGGAAUACGGAGGGUGCAAGCGUUAUCCGGAUUUAUUGGGUUUAAAGGGUCCGUAGGCGGACUUAUAAGUCAGUGGUGAAAGCCUGUCGCUUAACGAUAGAACUGCCAUUGAUACUGUAAGUCUUGAGUAUAUUUGAGGUAGCUGGAAUAAGUAGUGUAGCGGUGAAAUGCAUAGAUAUUACUUAGAACACCAAUUGCGAAGGCAGGUUACCAAGAUAUAACUGACGCUGAGGGACGAAAGCGUGGGUAGCGAACAGGAUUAGAUACCCCCGUAGUCCCUGUCUCUUAUAA
rnacentral:rRNA from 1 species